UACGUAGGAUGCAAGCGUUGUCCGGGAAUAUUGGGCGUAAAGAGCGCGCAGGCGGUCUAUCAAGUUCAGAUGUGAAAUAUCCAGGCUUAACCUGGAGGGGUCAUUUGAAACUGGUAGACUAGAGUACAGCAGGAGGAUAGUGGAAUUCCCGGUGUAGUGGUGAAAUGCGUAGAUAUCGGGAGGAACACCAGUGGCGAAGGCGACUAUCUGGGCUGAAACUGACGCUGA
rnacentral:rRNA from 1 species